rfam:Neotoma lepida isolate 417 scaffold_1151, whole genome shotgun sequence.
AUGCUCACAUUGGCAGUGUACAUAUUAAAAUUGGAGUGAUACAGAUAAGAUUAACAUGGACCUUGCACAAGGAGGACAUACAAAUUCAUGAAGCAUUUCAUAUUUUG